rnacentral:lncRNA from 1 species
AACCUACCUGAAUCUUUCUGCGCACCAACCUCUUUGCAAGCUCCGAGGCCGCUCAGCUCUGGGUCUAGAGCACAAGACCCUGCCUACUGGCCUUUUCUUUUUUCCUCAGGUCAGCGCAGGGUUACUCAGUGUCACCACUGGGGCAGUGGCAGCUAAGAAGCUGCGGAGUGGAGCCAAGUGGCAGGUAAGAGUCCAGCACUCGGGGAUCCCCGGGCUGGGCGCAGCCCGCGCCAAUACCGCCCCACCCCCCGCUGCCGCCCGACCGCGCCCAGCGGCAGCUCCUACGGAGCGCGCGGCCAGUCCGGCAGCGGGAGCCGCAGAGCGCGCGUGGGCGUGGCGCCCGUGAGCUCCCGAGAGGGCUGAGCGAUCGGGGAAGAGAUUUCCCCCAUCUCUGCCCUGCCACCGGGAUCUCCGCUUUCCACCGUGGGGCGGGGCCCGGACUGGGGGCGGGGCGCCGGGCGGGCGCGGCGCUAUUUCCAGCCUUGCCGGAGGCUCCGCUCGCACUUCGCUGGGAGCCUUCCCGGCGCGUGAGCCCGAUUCGGUAGCACAGCCGGGAAGAGACAGGACCGGGCGGUGGCGGCAGAGACAGGGGGACGCACCCGGUGCAGAGGACCCAAUAGGAGCACGCCGCCGCAACCUCUCCCGCGCGCUCCGGUCGCCGACUCUACGCCGACCGCCCACUCCCCGCACCUUGGACUACGCGGAGAAAGAGACGCAGCCCGGCCCGAACUGGGGCGGAGAUCCUUCUUGCUUCCCAAGAACCCGGGAGGAAGAUUCUCCCGCCGCCAAGAACCGUGCGGGACCGGAGGAACCCGUGGCCUGGAAAGCUCCGGUUGUGCCAGCCUAAGAGAAGUUGGGGGUUAAGCUAUUCCACUGCGGUCAGCUGACAGAGAUGUACACGGGCACAGAUGUGGGGUCUUGUGGAUGCUAUCCCACUGUGCGAUGCUACUGGUCGGCCAAGGGCUUUUUAUAACUGUGACCCACUCCACCUGGCGAACGAAUGCCUUGGAACACCACCACGUCCUGGGAGCACCAGGAUUUACCACUUUUCUCUCUGGAUCACUGAGGCUGAGAAGUGAGACUGUAUAGGAUUUGGGGGAGUGAGAAAGAGUCUGUGGGCUCAGGGAGAAACCAGACUUCUCUAAAAACCGUCAGCCAAGUUGCAAAGAACAGGGCUGUGGUGGUUUGAAUGGGUGCGGCCCCGUAGAGUCAUGUGUUUGAGUGCUUGGCCAUAGAAAGUGUAGGAGGUGAGGCCUCGUCGGAGGAAGUGUGUCACUGUGUAGUGGGCUUUGAAGCCUCCUGUGCUCAGGCUCUGCCUAGUGCAAAAGAGAGUCUCCUCCUGGCUGCCUCUGGAUCAAGAUGUAGAACUGUCAGCCCUUUCUCCAAUACCACGUCUGCCUGUAUGCUGCCAUGCUUCCUACCGUGAUGAUAAUGGACUGAACCUCUGAAACUGUAAGCCAGCCCCAAUUAAAUGUUUUCUUUUGUAAGAGUC